rnacentral:rRNA from 1 species
AACGCGAAGAACCUUACCAGCCCUUGACAUCCCGGUCGCGAGUACCAGAGAUGGAACUCUUCAGUUCGGCUGGACCGGAGACAGGUGCUGCAUGGCUGUCGUCAGCUCGUGUCGUGAGAUGUUGGGUUAAGUCCCGCAACGAGCGCAACCCUCGCCCUUAGUUGCCAUCAUUUAGUUGGGCACUCUAAGGGGACUGCCGGUGAUAAGCCGCGAGGAAGGUGGGGAUGACGUCAAGUCCUCAUGGCCCUUACGGGCUGGGCUACACACGUGCUACAAUGGCGGUGACAAUGGGACGCAAUGGGGAAACCCUGCGCAAAUCUCAAAAAGCCGUCUCAGUUCGGAUUGUGCUCUGCAACUCGAGCACAUGAAGUUGGAAUCGCUAGUAAUCGCAGAUCAGCACGCUGCGGUGAAUACGUUCCCGGGCCUUGUA